rnacentral:rRNA from 1 species
GAUGAACGCUGGCGGCGUGCCUAACACAUGCAAGUCGAGCGGUAUAUAUUGGAAUGAUAUUUCGAUUGAGUGAAGAUAUAGAGAGCGGCGGACGGGUGAGUAACGCGUAGGCAACCUGCCCCAUACAGAGGGAUAGCCUCGGGAAACCGGGAUUAAAACCUCAUAACGCCAAGAGUUCACAUGGACUUUUGGCCAAAGAUUUAUCGGUAUGGGAUGGGCCUGCGUCUGAUUAGCUAGUUGGUGGGGUAACGGCCUACCAAGGCAACGAUCAGUAGCCGACCUGAGAGGGUAAUCGGCCACAUUGGAACUGAGACACGGUCCAAACUCCUACGGGAGGCAGCAGUGGGGAAUAUUGCACAAUGGGCGAAAGCCUGAUGCAGCAACGCCGCGUGAGCGAUGAAGGCCUUUGGGUCGUAAAGCUCUGUCCUUGGGGAAGAAAAAAAUGACGGUACCCUUGGAGGAAGCCCCGGCUAACUACGUGCCAGCAGCCGCUGUAAGAC